rnacentral:rRNA from 1 species
CCAGCCGUAAACGAUGGACACUAGGUGUUGGGGGUUCGAAUCCUUCAGUGCCGAAGUUAACGCAUUAAGUGUCCCGCCUGGGGAGUACGGUCGCAAGACUGAAACUCAAAGGAAUUGACGGGGGCCCGCACAAGCGGUGGAGCAUGUGGUUUAAUUCGAUGCAACGCGCAGAACCUUACCGAGACUUGACAUCCCGUGCCUAUCUGUGAAAGCAGAGUCUGCCUUCGGGCACACGGAGACAGGUGG